AUGGCGCGGACCCCGGGCCCGGCCCCGUUGUGUCCUGGAGGCGGCAAAGCACAACUUUCCUCGGCGUUUCCUCCCGCGGUCGGACUGCUGCUGCCGGCCCCGCCGCCGCCGCCGCUGCUGCUGCUGCUUAUUCCCCUGCUUCUCUUCUCCCGGCUCUGUGGUGCCUUAGCUGGAUCAAUUAUUGUGGAGCCACAUGUCACAGCAGUGUGGGGAAAGAAUGUUUCAUUAAAGUGUUUAAUUGAAGUGAAUGAAACUAUAACCCAGAUCUCAUGGGAGAAGAUACAUGGCAAAAGUACACAGACUGUUGCAGUUCAUCAUCCUCAGUAUGGAUUCUCUGUUCAAGGAGAUUAUCAGGGAAGAGUCUUGUUUAAAAACUAUUCACUUAAUGAUGCAACAAUUACUCUGCAUAACAUAGGCUUCUCAGAUUCUGGAAAAUAUAUAUGCAAAGCCGUUACAUUCCCACUUGGAAAUGCUCAGUCCUCUACAACUGUGACUGUGUUAGUUGAACCCACGGUGAGCCUGAUAAAAGGGCCGGAUUCUUUAAUUGAUGGAGGGAAUGAGACAGUAGCAGCCGUUUGUGUAGCAGCCACUGGAAAGCCAGUCGCACAGAUUGACUGGGAAGGUGAUCUUGGUGAAAUGGAAUCUACUAUAACUUCUUUUCCUAAUGAAACAGCAACGAUUGUCAGCCAAUACAAGCUAUUUCCCACAAGAUUUGCUCGAGGAAGGCGAAUUACUUGUGUUGUAAAACAUCCAGCCUUAGAAAAGGACAUUCGAUACUCUUUCAUACUAGACAUACAGUAUGCUCCUGAAGUUUCAGUAACAGGAUAUGAUGGAAAUUGGUUCGUGGGAAGAAAAGGUGUCAACCUCAAGUGUAAUGCUGAUGCAAAUCCUCCGCCCUUCAAGUCCGUGUGGAGCAGGUUGGAUGGACAAUGGCCCGAUGGUUUAUUGGCGUCAGAUAAUACUCUUCAUUUUGUCCAUCCAUUGACUAUCAAUUAUUCUGGCGUUUAUGUCUGUAAAGUAUCAAAUUCCCUUGGUCAAAGAAGUGAUCAAAAGGUUAUCUACAUUUCAGAUCCUCCUACCACCACCACCCUUCAGCCGACAGUUCAGUGGCAUUCCUCACCUGCUGACGUCCAGGAUAUAGCAACAGAGCAUAAAAAAUUGCCCUUUCCAUUGUCAACUUUGGCAACACUUAAGGAUGACACAGUUGGCACCAUCAUUGCUAGUGUAGUGGUGGGGCUCUCUUCUUAGUGCUUGUAAGCAUUUUGGCUAGGAUAUUCUGCUAUAGGAGACGACGGACGUUUCGUGGAGACUACUUUGCCAAAAACUACAUUCCACCAUCAGACAUGCAGAAAGAAUCGCAGAUUGAUGUUCUUCACCAGGAUGAGCUUGAUUCUUACCCCGACAGUGUAAAAAAGGAAAACAAAAUCCCAGUGAACAACCUCAUCNGUAAAGACUACUUAGAGGAGCCUGAGAAAACACAGUGGAAUAAUGUAGAGAACCUCACUAGGUUUGAAAGACCGAUGGAUUACUAUGAAGAUCUAAAAAUGGGAAUGAAGUUCGUCAGUGAUGAACGCUACAAUGAAAGUGAAGAUGGUUUGGUUUCUCAUGUAGAUGGCUCCAUAAUUUCCAGGAGGGAGUGGUAUGUCUAACAGCCACUGACGCGACUUCACUAUGUACAAGGUUUCAUUCACACUAGUUGACCAUUUUCAGAUUGUUCAUACUUUUUCUUGAGGAAGAAUAAGCUUUUUCAAGUUGAUUUCGAGCUUACUUUUUAUAUUCUGAUCUGACAAAUGAAAAUGUAAAACCUGGGUUCAAUGUAUCUGAGCUGCUUUACAGUUUUCACUGCUAUACUACUGUCUCAAGAUUUAAAUUCUAAUGCAGAGUACUUUAUUGGUCUGAGGCACACAGGUAAGAAAGAUGUCAACAUUAAAUGUAUGACGUUUUUGGUACAAAAAUUAAAAACAGAAAAAAAAGAAACUACCUUGGCAUUGUGUAUUAAAUAUUUACCUAAGACUAUAAUCUCAAGUAUAAUGAUUGUGUAACAUAUACCUCUCAAAACUUAUCACCACUAAGAAUACUCCAUCAAAAUUGACAGUAAAACUCAUUCAAGAAAUGCUUAUAUAUUUUUAGUAUACUAAAAUCAUUCAUNCUGAUGGAGUAUCUUUUCAUCGUCAAACAUUAUUUUCUAAGUUUCUAUAUAGAUAGGAUCUUUACCUCUGCAUUUAAAUGAGCCUUGCCAUAAUUACUGUAGAGUGGCUUUUCAAAGAUAUUUUGUUGCACUAAAACUGUGGCCAUAAACUAAGUGAACACGAUGUGUGGAAGAGCAUAACUAGCUGUUCAAUAUUUUUGUCUAAAAUACAUGCAAGAGUAAUAAAAUAUAUGCCUCCUGA